rnacentral:rRNA from 1 species
AGGACGAACGCUGGCGGCGUGCUUAACACAUGCAAGUCAAGGGGGCCCAGCAAUGGGGCAACCGGCGAACGGGUGCGUAACACGUGAGCAACCUACCGAAAUGUGGGGGAUAGCCGGCCUAACGGCCGAGUAAUACCGCAUACGCUCUCGAUGAGGCAUUUCAUUGAGAGGAAACCUACGGGACAUUUCGAGGGGCUCGCGGCCUAUCAGCUAGUUGGCGAGGUAACGGCUCACCAAGGCAACGACGGGUA